GAAUUCAACUCCUACGGGAGGCAGCAGUGGGGAAUUUUGGACAAUGGGGGCAACCCUGAUCCAGCAAUGCCGCGUGAGUGAAGAAGGCCCUCGGGUUGUAAAGCUCUUUUGUCAGGGAAGAAACGGAGUUCUCUAAUAUAGGAUUCUAAUGACGGUACCUGAAGAAUAAGCACCGGCUAACUACGUGCCAGCAGCCGCGGUAAUACGUAGGGUGCAAGCGUUAAUCGGAAUUACUGGGCGUAAAGCGUGCGCAGGCGGUUUUGUAAGUCUGAUGUGAAAUCCCCGGGCUCAACCUGGGAACUGCAUUGGAGACUGCAAGGCUAGAGUGUGUCAGAGGGGGGUAGAAUUCCACGUGUAGCAGUGAAAUGCGUAGAGACGUGGAGGAAUACCGAUGGCGAAGGCAGCCCCCUGGGAUAACACUGACGCUCAUGCACGAAAGCGUGGGGAGCGAACAGGAUUAGAAACCCGGGUAGUCCAGGCGUU
rnacentral:rRNA from 1 species